UACGAAGGGUGCAAGCGUUGUUCGGAAUUACUGGGCGUAAAGCGCGCGUAGGUGGGCUUGCAAGUCGUUUGUGAAAUCCCUGGGCUUAACCUGGGAACUGCAGUCGAAACUGCAAGCCUUGAAUGUCUGAGAGGAUGGCGGAAUAACCGGUGUAGUAGUGAAAUACGUAGAUAUCGGUUAGAACACCUGAGGCGAAGGCGGCUAUCUGGCGGAACAUUGACGCUGAGGCGCGAAAGCGUGGGGAGCAAACAGG
rnacentral:rRNA from 1 species